UGGAAUAUGAAUUAUCCCAGCCGCCAUCUCUAGAAAGUUGUUCUGUCGACAGCGACUGUGAAGAUGGUGAGAAAUGUGUAGAGGAUCAAAACUUAGGAGUGCUCGUGUGUGUGCCAGAAGACAAUGAGAGAGAGCAACAGAACUGGUUUGGAAGAAAAGUACAGAGGAUACGGUUUGUCAGACUCCAGAGGAGGAGGUAUGGAAGAAGAUUUCAGAGGAUUAGGUAUUGGAGAAGACUUCAAGGAAGAAGAUUUGGAAAAGGAUUUCAAAAGUAUUAGAGAAAUUUUAGGAGGAGAAGGUUUGAGAGAGACCUUCAGAGGAGAUGGGCGCAGCACUGAUGAAGCUGUAUAAAGGACACGAGCCUUACUGAAUUAAUUUCACCGUGUUUUGUGUAUAGGAAUAAGAUGUUAAACAUGAAGAUGCCUCAUUAAAUCUUAUUUUUAGAAAUUC